rnacentral:rRNA from 1 species
AUAAUGGGUCAGCGACUUAUAUUCUGUAGCAAGGUUAACCGAAUAGGGGAGCCGAAGGGAAACCGAGUCUUAACUGGGCGUUAAGUUGCAGGGUAUAGACCCGAAACCCGGUGAUCUAGCCAUGGGCAGGUUGAAGGUUGGGUAACACUAACUGGAGGACCGAACCGACUAAUGUUGAAAAAUUAGCGGAUGACUUGUGGCUGGGGGUGAAAGGCCAAUCAAACCGGGAGAUAGCUGGUUCUCCCCGAAAGCUAUUUAGGUAGCGCCUCGUGAAUUCAUCUCCGGGGGUAGAGCACUGUUUCGGCAAGGGGGUCAUCCCGACUUACCAACCCGAUGCAAACUGCGAAUACCGGAGAAUGUUAUCACGGGAGACACACGGCGGGUGCUAACGUCCGUCGUGAAGAGGGAAACAACCCAGACCGCCAGCUAAGGUCCCAAAGUCAUGGUUAAGUGGGAAACGAUGUGGGAAGGCCCAGACAGCCAGGAUGUUGGCUUAGAAGCAGCCAUCAUUUAAAGAAAGCGUAAUAGCUCACUGGUCGAGUCGGCCUGCGCGGAAGAUGUAACGGGGCUAAACCAUGCACCGAAGCUGCGGCAGCGACGCUGAUGCGUUGUUGGGUAGGGGAGCGUUCUGUAAGCCUGUGAAGGUGUGCUGUGAGGCAUGCUGGAGGUAUCAGAAGUGCGAAUGCUGACAUAAGUAACGAUAAAGCGGGUGAAAAGCCCGCUCGCCGGAAGACCAAGGGUUCCUGUCCAACGUUAAUCGGGGCAGGGUGAGUCGACCCCUAAGGCGAGGCCGAAAGGCGUAGUCGAUGGGAAACAGGUUAAUAUUCCUGUACUUGGUGUUACUGCGAAGGGGGGACGGAGAAGGCUAUGUUGGCCGGGCGACGGUUGUCCCGGUUUAAGCGUGUAGGCUGGUUUUCCAGGCAAAUCCGGAAAACUAAGGCUGAGGCGUGAUGACGAGGCACUACGGUGCUGAAGCAACAAAUGCCCUGCUUCCAGGAAAAGCCUCUAAGCAUCAGGUAACAUCAAAUCGUACCCCAAACCGACACAGGUGGUCAGGUAGAGAAUACCAAGGCGCUUGAGAGAACUCGGGUGAAGGAACUAGGCAAAAUGGUGCCGUAACUUCGGGAGAAGGCACGCUGAUAUGUAGGUGAAGUCCCUCGCGGAUGGAGCUGAAAUCAGUCGAAGAUACCAGCUGGCUGCAACUGUUUAUUAAAAACACAGCACUGUGCAAACACGAAAGUGGACGUAUACGGUGUGACGCCUGCCCGGUGCCGGAAGGUUAAUUGAUGGGGUCAGCGCAAGCGAAGCUCUUGAUCGAAGCCCCGGUAAACGGCGGCCGUAACUAUAACGGUCCUAAGGUAGCGAAAUUCCUUGUCGGGUAAGUUCCGACCUGCACGAAUGGCGUAAUGAUGGCCAGGCUGUCUCCACCCGAGACUCAGUGAAAUUGAACUCGCUGUGAAGAUGCAGUGUACCCGCGGCAAGACGGAAAGACCCCGUGAACCUUUACUAUAGCUUGACACUGAACAUUGAGCCUUGAUGUGUAGGAUAGGUGGGAGGCUUUGAAGUGUGGACGCCAGUCUGCAUGGAGCCGACCUUGAAAUACCACCCUUUAAUGUUUGAUGUUCUAACGUUGACCCGUAAUCCGGGUUGCGGACAGUGUCUGGUGGGUAGUUUGACUGGGGCGGUCUCCUCCUAAAGAGUAACGGAGGAGCACGAAGGUUGGCUAAUCCUGGUCGGACAUCAGGAGGUUAGUGCAAUGGCAUAAGCCAGCUUGACUGCGAGCGUGACGGCGCGAGCAGGUGCGAAAGCAGGUCAUAGUGAUCCGGUGGUUCUGAAUGGAAGGGCCAUCGCUCAACGGAUAAAAGGUACUCCGGGGAUAACAGGCUGAUACCGCCCAAGAGUUCAUAUCGACGGCGGUGUUUGGCACCUCGAUGUCGGCUCAUCACAUCCUGGGGCUGAAGUAGGUCCCAAGGGUAUGGCUGUUCGCCAUUUAAAGUGGUACGCGAGCUGGGUUUAGAACGUCGUGAGACAGUUCGGUCCCUAUCUGCCGUGGGCGCUGGAGAACUGAGGGGGGCUGCUCCUAGUACGAGAGGACCGGAGU